rnacentral:rRNA from 1 species
UAGAGUUUGAUCAUGGCUCAGGACGAACGCUGGCGGCGUGCCUAACACAUGCAAGUCGAACGGAGAUGUUAGAUGAAGCUUGCGAUUCUAAUUUCUUAGUGGCGGACGGGUGAGUAACGCGUGGGUAACCUACCCAUAAGAGGGGGAUAACAGCUGGAAACGGCUGCUAAUACCGCAUAAGCUUUCUGUUUAAGAUGGAAAGUAAAGAUGGCCUCUGAAUAUGCUAUCGCUUAUGGAUGGGCCCGCGUCUGAUUAGCUAGUUGGUGGGGUAAAGGCCUACCAAGGCGACGAUCAGUAGCCGGCCUGAGAGGGUGGACGGCCACACUGGGACUGAGACACGGCCCAGACUCCUACGGGAGGCAGCAGUGGGGAAUAUUGCGCAAUGGGGGAAACCCUGACGCAGCGACGCCGCGUGAGCGAAGAAGGCCUUCGGGUCGUAAAGCUCUGUUUUAAGGGACGAAGUCUGCAUAGAAUAAUACGCUGUGCAGGUGACGGUACCUUACGAGAAAGCCCCGGCUAACUACGUGCCAGCAGCCGCGGUAAGACGUAGGGGGCGAGCGUUGUCCGGAAUUACUGGGCGUAAAGAGCACGUAGGCGGAUGCUUAAGUCAGGUGUGAAAGACCGCAGCUUAACUGCGGGGUUGCACUUGAAACUGGGUAUCUUGAGGGCAGGAGAGGUCAGUAGAAUUCCUGGUGUAGCGGUGAAGUGCGUAGAAAUCAGGAGGAAUACCAGUGGCGAAGGCGGCUGACUGGACUGACCCUGACGCUGAGGUGCGAAAGCGUGGGUAGCAAACAGGAUUAGAUACCCUGGUAGUCCACGCUGUAAACGAUGGAUACUAGGUGUAGGAGGUAUCGACCCCUUCUGUGCCGCAGCUAACGCAAUAAGUAUCCCGCCUGGGGAGUACGGUCGCAAGGCUGAAACUCAAAUGAAUUGACGGA